rnacentral:rRNA from 1 species
GAUGAACGCUAGCGAUAGGCCUAACACAUGCAAGUCGAGGGGCAUCACAUGAAGUAGCAAUACGGAUGGUGGCGACCGGCGCACGGGUGAGUAACACGUAUGCAACCUGCCUUCAACAAGGGGAUAACCCGUUGAAAGACGGACUAAUACCCUAUAACACAGGGGUCCCGCAUGGGAAUAUUUGUUAAAGGACAACCGGUUGAAGAUGGGCAUGCGUUCCAUUAGCUAGUUGGCGGGGUAACGGCCCACCAAGGCAACGAUGGAUAGGGGAACUGAGAGGUUUAUCCCCCACACUGGUACUGAGACACGGACCAGACUCCUACGGGAGGCAGCAGUGAGGAAUAUUGGUCAAUGGACGCAAGUCUGAACCAGCCACGUCGCGUGAAGGAAGACGGCCCUACGGGUUGUAAACUUCUUUUAUACGGGAAUAAAGUGCCCCACGCGUGGGGUUUUGCAUGUACCGUAUGAAUAAGGAUCGGCUAACUCCGUGCCAGCAGC